GUAAAAUGGCUGAGCAAAGCAUUAGACUGUAAAUCUAAGCACAGAGGAUAGGCCUCUUUUUACCA
rnacentral:tRNA from 2 species